UGUCUUCAUAAACUACGUUGGACUGAUUAGGUCCAUAUCCAUGCCUAGCCUAUAAAGUUCCACCCUACUCAGUUCAUGGGUUCUUUGCUUAAUCAUUUCAAUCAGCGCUAGCAGAUUCUCAAUUCAGUAGUACACAACCACAACCACAAAUAGUUCGUUUUACAAAAGAUGUUAAGACACAAUCCUUCUGAAAAAUAGAUGUUAAAAUACAAAAGUUGACCGGAUGUGGUGACAGGGGCGUAACAAAGGAAAAUUUACAGUCAAUUCUGCAUAUGGAAUCCUGAAUAAUCACCCAAUCAGUCAAGACUAACAGUUGUGGCCAUGGAAGCACAUAUGGGAAGUUAGAAUUCCAUAUAAAAUGAAAUGCUUUAUCUGGUUGGUAGUAACAGGCAUGCUUAACUCAUGAAAUUUAAAGAGAGACAUACAAUUAUCUUCAAGAUGCUAUCUUUGUGGUAAGGAAGCUGAAACUGUCAUCUAUGUUACAUUGUGGGUUGACUUCUCAAAUCUGGAACAUCUUUCUAUACAUGAGGUAUCAAAUGGACAGUGCCAAAAAGCUCUUUGGAGUCUUUGGUGGAGAAUGCCAAAAACAUCUUUCUAUGUUGUUGAAAUGUAUUUGGUGGACUGUUAAUUUUGAAGUCAAUACUUGGAGGUGAAGCGGGUGUCCUCCCAACACAUACUUAGGUAUGCCUUUGGGGGCAAAAUCCAAGUCUAUGGAAAUCUCGGAUGGGGUGAUGACAAGUGUAAGAAGAGGUUAGCAAGGUGGAAGUCUCAGUACCUUUCACUAGGGGCAAGACUAACUUUGAUUAAUUCUGAUGCACUUCCAACAUAUAUGAUGUCAUUAUUUCCUGUCCCGCUAGGAAUCAUCAAUAGUUUGGAUAGCAUCAGAAGAAAAAUUUUGUGACUAGAGAACAAGGAAAGGAGAGGGUAUCACUUAGUCAAAGGGAUCAAGAAUAUGAAGAACCAGAGCAAAGCUUUGAGAAUGAAGUGGCUUUGGAAGUACUCAAAUGAUAAUCAGAAUAUGUGGGGCUCAGUCAUAAAGGAAAGAUAUGAAGAGAGUGAUAAUUGGAUGACAAAGGAGGUUACCACCCCUUAUUGUGUUAGCUUAUGGAAAUCCAUUAGAGAACUUUGGAAUGAAUUCAAACAAAAAACCAAGAUCAAAGUGGUAGAUCAGUAGAUGACAUUAAAACUAGAUUCUGGAAGGACAAUUGACAUGCAGAAGGAAAUAUGGAGACUCUCUUCCCUAACAUCCAAAAUUUAGUUCUUCAGCAACAAAGUACUAUAGCUGACUUAUGCACUCUUCAAGGGUGGAAUUUUGUAUGUAGAAGACACCUCAAUGACAGAAAUUCCAGGAGUAACAAAUUUUUUUAAAAGCAUUGAUCAGUUUAGUGGUCUGGAAACAGGGCUGGACAGAUUGCAGUGGUCGGGAAGCAGGAAAGGGAUUUUUAAACUAGGUGCAACAUACAAGAAGUUGAACCAUCAAAAUCUACAGUUACUCAGGUGGCAUUGGAGACAUAUAUGGAAAGCCAAAAUCGCCUACAAGGUGUCUUGCUUUGUGUGGUUGCUGGCUAAAGAAACAGACACAGGAGAAUUUAAUGAAGAGGCGAAAUACACUUUACUCUAGAUGUUUUUUCUGUGGAAAAACUUCAAAAACAGUCAAUCACUUGUUCAUCUAAUGUGAAGUCACUGGCCAGUAGUUCCUGAGACUUAAAAAGCAUGUCCUGGUCCAUGCCUGGGAGAAUUUCAGAGGCUUUAUAUAGCUGGGAAGAAGAAGGGACACAAGCAAAAAAUAGAAGUAACUGGAGAAUUGGUCCCUGCCACUCUUUGGUGGACAAUAUGGAAAGAGAGGAACCUUAGAGUUUUUGAGAAUAGGGAGAGUAGUAUGCAACAAGUCAAACUGAAUUGUAAUGUGACCAUGUGUUUUUGGUGUAAUCAAAUUUACUCUAAUGAUACGGUCUCUAUCAUUGAUGUCUUAGACUCAUUAUAGGGAUAGGUUGGUAUUACUAGAGUUCCUUGUGUAAAUACUGUUUUCAGUAAAACCUAUGUACUGUUCUACAGAAAUAGAAACAAUUACCAUUUUCAAAAAAAAAUAAAGGAUAGCUUUUUCGGUUUUA